rnacentral:misc_RNA from 1 species
GAUGAAGAACGCAGUGAAAUGCGAUACGUAAUGUGAAUUGCAGAAUUCAGUGAAUCAUCGAAUCUUUGAACGCACAUUGCGCCCGCCAGUAUUCUGGCGGGCAUGCCUGUUCGAGCGUCAUUUCAACCAUCAAGCCCCCGGCUUGUGUUGGGGACCUGCGGCUGCCGCAGGCCCUGAAAACCAGUGGCGGGCUCGCUAGUCACUCCGAGCGUAGUAAUACAUCUCGCUCAGGGCGUGCUGCGGGUUCCGGCCGUUAAAAAGCCUUAUUUACCCAAGGUUGACCUCGGAUCAGGUAGGAAGACCCGCUGAACUUAAGCAUAUCAAUAAGCGGAGGA